rnacentral:rRNA from 1 species
GGGUUGUGAGGUUAAGCGACUAAGCGUACACGGUGGAUGCCCUGGCAGUCAGAGGCGAUGAAGGACGUGCUAAUCUGCGAUAAGCGUCGGUGAGGUGAUAUGAACCGUUAUAACCGGCGAUUUCCGAAUGGGGAAACCCAGUGUGUUUCGACACACUAUCAUUAACUGAAUCCAUAGGUUAAUGAGGCGAACCGGGGGAACUGAAACAUCUAAGUACCCCGAGGAAAAGAAAUCAACCGAGAUUCCCCCAGUAGCGGCGAGCGAACGGGGAGGAGCCCAGAGCCUGAAUCAGUGUGUGUGUUAGUGGAAGCGUCUGGAAAGGCGUGCGAUACAGGGUGACAGCCCCGUACACAAAAAUGCACAUACUGUGAGCUCGAUGAGUAGGGCGGGACACGUGGUAUCCUGUCUGAAUAUGGGGGGACCAUCCUCCAAGGCUAAAUACUCCUGACUGACCGAUAGUGAACCAGUACCGUGAGGGAAAGGCGAAAAGAACCCCGGCGAGGGGAGUGAAAAAGAACCUGAAACCGUGUACGUACAAGCAGUGGGAGCCUCUUAAUGGGGUGACUGCGUACCUUUUGUAUAAUGGGUCAGCGACUUAUAUUCUGUAGCAAGGUUAACCGAAUAGGGGAGCCGAAGGGAAACCGAGUCUUAACUGGGCGUUAAGUUGCAGGGUAUAGACCCGAAACCCGGUGAUCUAGCCAUGGGCAGGUUGAAGGUUGGGUAACACUAACUGGAGGACCGAACCGACUAAUGUUGAAAAAUUAGCGGAUGACUUGUGGCUGGGGGUGAAAGGCCAAUCAAACCGGGAGAUAGCUGGUUCUCCCCGAAAGCUAUUUAGGUAGCGCCUCGUGAAUUCAUCUCCGGGGGUAGAGCACUGUUUCGGCAAGGGGGUCAUCCCGACUUACCAACCCGAUGCAAACUGCGAAUACCGGAGAAUGUUAUCACGGGAGACACACGGCGGGUGCUAACGUCCGUCGUGAAGAGGGAAACAACCCAGACCGCCAGCUAAGGUCCCAAAGUCAUGGUUAAGUGGGAAACGAUGUGGGAAGGCCCAGACAGCCAGGAUGUUGGCUUAGAAGCAGCCAUCAUUUAAAGAAAGCGUAAUAGCUCACUGGUCGAGUCGGCCUGCGCGGAAGAUGUAACGGGGCUAAACCAUGCACCGAAGCUGCGGCAGCGACGCUUAUGCGUUGUUGGGUAGGGGAGCGUUCUGUAAGCCUGUGAAGGUGGCCUGUGAGGGUUGCUGGAGGUAUCAGAAGUGCGAAUGCUGACAUAAGUAACGAUAAAGCGGGUGAAAAGCCCGCUCGCCGGAAGACCAAGGGUUCCUGUCCAACGUUAAUCGGGGCAGGGUGAGUCGACCCCUAAGGCGAGGCCGAAAGGCGUAGUCGAUGGGAAACAGGUUAAUAUUCCUGUACUUGGUGUUACUGCGAAGGGGGGACGGAGAAGGCUAUGUUGGCCGGGCGACGGUUGUCCCGGUUUAAGCGUGUAGGCUGGUUUUCCAGGCAAAUCCGGAAAAUCAAGGCUGAGGCGUGAUGACGAGGCACUACGGUGCUGAAGCGACAAAUGCCCUGCUUCCAGGAAAAGCCUCUAAGCAUCAGGUAACAUCAAAUCGUACCCCAAACCGACACAGGUGGUCAGGUAGAGAAUACCAAGGCGCUUGAGAGAACUCGGGUGAAGGAACUAGGCAAAAUGGUGCCGUAACUUCGGGAGAAGGCACGCUGAUAUGUAGGUGAAGCGACUUGCUCGUGGAGCUGAAAUCAGUCGAAGAUACCAGCUGGCUGCAACUGUUUAUUAAAAACACAGCACUGUGCAAACACGAAAGUGGACGUAUACGGUGUGACGCCUGCCCGGUGCCGGAAGGUUAAUUGAUGGGGUUAGCGGUAACGCGAAGCUCUUGAUCGAAGCCCCGGUAAACGGCGGCCGUAACUAUAACGGUCCUAAGGUAGCGAAAUUCCUUGUCGGGUAAGUUCCGACCUGCACGAAUGGCGUAAUGAUGGCCAGGCUGUCUCCACCCGAGACUCAGUGAAAUUGAACUCGCUGUGAAGAUGCAGUGUACCCGCGGCAAGACGGAAAGACCCCGUGAACCUUUACUAUAGCUUGACACUGAACAUUGAGCCUUGAUGUGUAGGAUAGGUGGGAGGCUUUGAAGUGUGGACGCCAGUCUGCAUGGAGCCGACCUUGAAAUACCACCCUUUAAUGUUUGAUGUUCUAACGUGGGCCCCUUACCGGGGUUGCGGACAGUGUCUGGUGGGUAGUUUGACUGGGGCGGUCUCCUCCUAAAGAGUAACGGAGGAGCACGAAGGUUGGCUAAUCCUGGUCGGACAUCAGGAGGUUAGUGCAAUGGCAUAAGCCAGCUUGACUGCGAGCGUGACGGCGCGAGCAGGUGCGAAAGCAGGUCA